AGAAGACGCAGUGGUCCACCUCGACCCCCGGAGCAGUUUUCAGGUCUCAGUGCUGCCAGAGGUGUCCGCCAGCUCUCCCUUUGGAUUGGAAAAUGCACGGAACCCUGCUUGCUGGGGUCAUGGAAGUGCUUUGGCAGAGUUCUCAAGGGCCAGAGAGGAGAAGACUGCUUACCGAGCCUCUCAUAGAGCAGCAGAGAUACCAGAUUAUCAGUUGCUCAAAGCAUCAGUGGAUUUUAGGAGAGGAAGUUUGGUGUGGUGGCUAAGCAGAGGGCUUUGAAGUCAAGAGGGAUAAGAAAACUCCCCUGCUCAACCUGG
ensembl:lncRNA